rnacentral:rRNA from 1 species
AAUGAACGCUGGCGGCAGGCCUAACACAUGCAAGUCGAACGGGUGCCUUCGGGUGCUAGUGGCGGACGGGUGAGUAACGCGUGGGAACAUACCCUUUGGUACGGAAUAGCCUCGGGAAACUGAGAGUAAUACCGUAUGUGCCCUUCGGGGGAAAGAUUUAUCGCCAAAGGAUUGGCCCGCGUUGGAUUAGGUAGUUGGUGGGGGUAAUGGCCUACCAAGCCGACGAUCCAUAGCUGGUUUGAGAGGAUGAUCAGCCACACUGGGACUGAGACACGGCCCAGACUCCUACGGGAGGCAGCAGUGGGGAAUCUUAGACAAUGGGGGAAACCCUGAUCUAGCCAUGCCGCGUGAUCGAUGAAGGCCUUAGGGUUGUAAAGAUCUUUCAGGUGGGAAGAUAAUGACUGUACCACCAGAAGAAGCCCCGGCUAACUCCGUG